AGGGGGCAGCUUGCCUAGAACUUUGACUGAGUUUUUAUUUGAUCCUGGAGAUGAAAGGAAACUACUAGCACCUGGGAGUGAGAGCCCAGAGAUCAGCCUUGUACUUAAGGAAGAUUAGUUUGACAGCUGAAUGGAAGAUGGAUGGAGUGGACUGAGAAGAGACUCAAGGGCAGAAUCAGCUCCUGACGGUGGGGUAUUGUGGGGUAGAGAGAGGAGAGGAAAGUUUGAAUAUGUUGCUUCUGGGAAGGGAAGGUGGAGAAGAAACAUGGUAAACUGAUUUUUUUUCUAUGCUGUGAAAGAAUUAUAAAUAUUUCCAAUGCUUUCAAAAUAGUCACCCUGGGGCAAAGCCCUGGUAACUCCACCCUGUACCUUAUUGCUUUUUCGCUGCCAGCUCUGUUUUGUGAGAUGAGGCAGAAAAAUCUUCCUAGUACUACUUUUCCCUUUCUUGCCACAUGCCCGGAACACAUUUUUACACAGAAAAAAAAAUACAAAUGGUAGUUCUGUGACUAAAGCUCAGUUACAACAUAAGUUUAAUGUAUCUGUUGAGAACCCUAACCAUCUAACCAUAACAUAGCAUUCUUUCUGAGGGGAAAUGCAUGAUCUUACAUUGAAUGAGAAGAGAACUGGGAACACACUCUACAAUUGGUGGAGAAAAGGGAGUGGUGGGUCAGCUCUGUGAACAUUCCUUUCUCUUCUGUCUUCAUCCAUUCCAUCCCCACUCUCUAUCUCCAAGCAUGUGAAGAUAAAAGAACUUGAUGAGUGAAGAAUCUCUGAGGUUCCUGGUGGGGUCGCUACUCCCAGGAGGUCAUGGGCUGGUCCUUCACUUGUAUGGAAUGGUCAUAAAUCAGGUGUUUUUUUUUUUUACACUUUUAACAUUAUAUCAAUCAAAUUACUAAGUGGGUGCUUUAACAACAUAAUGAGAAAUGUAAUUAUUAUAUAUUAAGUAUAUACAUAUAAUUAAUAAUAAUAUAACAAAGCAUUUUUAUGAAAUAAUAAAAAAUUCAUUUGGAGAAGCUAAAAUAUCA
rnacentral:lncRNA from 1 species